UAGGGAAUAUUAGUAAUGGGCGAAAGCCUGAACUAGCAACACCGCGUGUGCGAAGAAGGCCUUCGGGUUGUAAAGCACUUUUUGAGAGGAUGAGGAAGGACGGUACUCUCAGAAUAAGUCUCGGCUAACUACGUGCCAGCAGCCGCGGUAACACGUAGGAGGCAAACGUUAUCCGGAUUUACUGGGCGUAAAGCGCGUGUAGGUGGUUUGGUAAGUAGAGCGUGAAAGCUCCUGGCUCAACUGGGAGAGGUCGUUCUAAACUGCCGGACUAGAGGAUGGUAGAUGGAGGUGGAAUUCCGGGUGUAGCGGUGGAAUGCGCAGAUAUCCGGAGUAACACCAGUGGCGAAAGCGGUCUCCUAGACCACUCCUGACACUCAGACGCGAAAGGUAGGGUAGCAAACG
rnacentral:rRNA from 1 species